UACAGAAGGUGCAAGCGUUAAUCGGAAUUACUGGGCGUAAAGCGUGCGCAGACGGUUGCGUAAGUCAGAUGUGAAAGCCCCGGGCUCAACCUGGGAAUUGCAUUUGAGACUGCGUAGCUAGGGUGCGGAAGAGGGAAGCGGAAUUUCCGGUGUAGCGGUGAAAUGCGUAGAUAUCGGAAGGAACACCAGUGGCGAAAGCGGCUUCCUGGUCCAGCACCGACGUCAGGCACGAAAGCGUGGGGAGCAAACAGG
rnacentral:rRNA from 1 species